GAACAAUAAUUAAACUCCAAUACACAGAAACAGCAACGAGCAUUUUUGCCUUCUGUCAUGCACUUUGCCACACACCCCAAAAAGUGCCCCUUCUCUUUCUCUCUCUCUCUCUUCACACUCUUCUCUUCCUUAGGGUUUCUCUUUCAUUCAAACACAGAUUCAGAUUCCCACUUCCCUUUUCAGUUUUCACACCGACUCGCCGAGUCCACUCGCUCACCUCGCGUCUCCGACAACGCUUACUUUCUCCUUAUUUUCCUCGAGUGAGUCUUCCCUUCUUCUCUUUUUUUACUUUCUGCCCCGUUUGUGUCCAAUCUUAACCCCGCCUCUCCUUCAGUUUCCCAAAGCCUUCAAAAUGCAGAUUUUCCAACUCCAUCCAAACACCGCCUUUCGAUGAUUCCGAUGUAAAAGGAAGAAAAACGCAAAAAAAAAAGAUCUCGAAUCAGUUAUCACCUCAAUGGAAGGUUCUAGAAUAGAGAACUUGAUUAAUGCCAAGAAGUCCCUGAAGCUUAGCUUAGAGAAAUCAAAGUCGGUAGGUUUAGCGUUAGAGAAAGCCGGCCCGAGGUUAGGCGAAAUCCGGCAGCGGCUCCCGUCUCUGGGGGCGGCGGUGCGGCCGAUUCGCGCUGACCGCGACGCGCUGGCCGCGGUCGGCGGCCACAUCAACCGCGCCGUGGGCCCCGCCGCGGCGGUGCUCAAGGUUUUCGACGCCGUUCACGGCCUCGAAAAAUCGCUCCUGUCGGACCCCCGGUCCGACCUCGCCGGCUACCUCUCGGUGCUGAAGCGCCUGGAGGAGGCGCUGAGGUUUUUGGGGGACAAUUGUGGUUUGGCAAUUCAGUGGUUAGAGGAUAUAGUUGAGUAUUUGGAGGAUAAUUCUGUUGCUGAUCAGGUUUAUCUCGCGAGUUUGAAGAAGGAAUUGAAGAAUCUCCGUGAGUUUCAGCACGGGGAGCUCGAUGGAGGGUUGUUGGAUGCUGCAUUGUUUAAGUUGGAGGAUGAAUUCAGGUUGUUGUUGACUGAGAAUAGUGUGCCGUUGCCGAUGUCGGCCGCUGCUGCGGCCGGCGAUCAGGCGUGCAUUGCGCCGUCACCGCUGCCGGUGCCGGUCGUGCACAAGCUGCAGGCGAUCCUUGGGAGGUUGAUUGCCAAUGAGAGGCUUGAUAGGUGUGUGGGGAUUUAUGUUGAGGUGAGGAGUUCCAAUGUGAGGGCGAGUUUGCAGGCGCUGAAUUUGGAUUACCUUGAGAUUUCGGUUUCGGAGUUCAAUGAUGUGCAGAGCAUUGAGGGGUAUAUUGCUCAGUGGGGGAAGCAUUUGGAGUUUGCGGUGAAGCAUUUGUUUGAGGCUGAGUAUAAGCUUUGCAAUGAUGUGUUUGAGAGGAUUGGGUUGGAUGUGUGGAUGGGUUGCUUUUCGAAGAUAGCUGCGCAGGCUGGUAUACUUGCGUUUCUUCAGUUUGGGAAGACGGUCACGGAGAGUAAGAAGGACCCCAUUAAGCUUUUGAAGUUGUUGGAUAUUUUUGCAUCGUUGAACAAGUUGAGGCUGGAUUUCAACCGGCUUUUCGGCGGGGCGCCGUGUGCUGAGAUACAGAAUUUGACGAGGGAUCUUAUUAAGAGAGUGAUUGAUGGGGCUGCUGAGAUUUUCUGGGAGCUUUUGGUUCAGGUGGAGUUGCAGAGGCAGAAUCCGCCGCCGAUGGAUGGCAAUGUGCCAAGAUUGGUGAGCUUUAUCACUGAUUACUGUAACAAGCUCCUUGGGGAGGACUACAAGCCGAUAUUGACUCAGGUCCUGAUCAUUCACAGAAGUUGGAAGCGCCAAAGCUUUCAGGAGAGACUCCUUGUUGAUGAGGUUUUGAAUAUAGUGAAGGCUGUUGAACAGAACGUGGAGACUUGGAUCAAGGCUUAUGGUGAUUCUGAUUCUACACUGUCCAACUUUUUUGCUAUGAACAAUCACUGGCAUCUGUGCAAGCAUUUGAAAGGGACAAAGCUUGGGGAGCUGUUGGGGGAUUCUUGGUUAAGGGAGCAUGAACAGUAUAAGGACUAUUACUCCACAAUCUUCUUGAGGGACAGCUGGGGAAAGCUUCCUGGACAUUUGAGUAGGGAAGGGCUGAUUCUUUUCUCGGGAGGGCGCGCCACUGCCCGUGACCUGGUCAAGAAAAGGUUGAAGAAAUUCAAUGAAGUUUUUGAUGAGAUGUAUACAAAGCAGUCAAGUUGGGUCAUGCCAGAACAAGAUCUGAGGGAGAAGACAUGUCAGCAUAUAGUGCAAGCAGUGGUGCCUGUUUACCGCAGUUACAUGCAGAAUUAUGGUCCUUUGGUUGAGCAAGAUACUAGCUCCACAAAAUAUGCAAAGUACACAGUGCAGAAGCUGGAGGAAAUGCUUUUGUGUCUCUAUCGGCCGAAGCCUGUAAGACAUGGCAGCUUGAGAAGUCCGACAUUUAAUGCAAAAUAUGGCAAUGGAGUACCUGAUCUUCGUAGAACAGCAUCUGCAGUUGUGUAAUUUCCCAGUCAUGUAUUCUUAAACCUAAAGAUUGAACAGCAUUGGUAAUCUUUCCCCCUCAUCAUAUGGAUGGUUGCUGUAUAUAAUUUUCCUCUGGGCCCUGCGGUGCAUAAGAUAUGCUUUGGUUAGUUUCUGAGAAGGAAGUUUCUGAGCACUGCCCUUUGAAUAUCUGAUGUAUUUCAUGAAAAUGAAGCUUAGUAUCUCUUUUGAGAUGAAAAACUGGUUAUUGUCUUCCUUGCACAGAGGUUUCUGCAAAAGCUAUGCCAUCUGUAAUAGAGUAAGUUAUGACCUUUUGAUUAAUAAUUAUGGACCUUGUUAUGAGGUUUUUGGUCAUACUGCCUGCCAGCUGAAGUAAUUUUAUUCAAUCUUCAUCUUCAUCCAUUCAGUUAUUCGUAGCAGAAGGAUCAUUUUAGUUUGCAAAUUUUAUGUACAAUUUUUUAGCAUACAUGGACUUAGCAGUUUAGAUUAACAGAAUAUUUAGUCACCAUCAGUAUUGAUGGGGGUGAAGUUGUUAAUUGUAAAUGCAGAAACCCUUGUGAGUUGCUUGUUCCAUGUACUUCUUUAAGGGAGCCUUUUUCAAAAUAAGACGUGUAUUUAGCAAUGAAUUUAUGGGGAGGCCAAGGAAAAUAGUUUAGGAGCAUUUUAACCGUGUGAAAUGAGAGGGCCAUUGUCGCUGCUGACUGAAGAGCUCAAGAAACCUAGCAAAUGUUUCUUCUAGUUCGAGUUGCAGUUAUGACAGGGACUAUAACAUUUUUUAAAGUUGUCCUAAUGCUCUACAAAUAUGGCUGACUUUAUAUGUAAAGCAGGUUUAUUCACUAUGAAUACAAGUACAUACUAAUUUUUACUUUCAAACAGUGAUAAACUCUUGUUUUACUUAUCCACAUGAAUUGUUCUCUCUCUUCCCUACUUUUUCUACUGUGCCAAAAGUUGUAAAAUGAUGGUGAGUACUAGGAUGGAUUUGGUAGAAAAUGGUAUCAUGAUGAACUAGGUUUAUGUGGUCUCUACUAUAACAA